rnacentral:rRNA from 1 species
UGCUGACGAGUGGCGAACGGGUGAGUAAUACAUCGGAACGUGCCCGAUCGUGGGGGAUAACGGAGCGAAAGCUUUGCUAAUACCGCAUACGAUCUACGGAUGAAAGCAGGGGACCGCAAGGCCUUGCGCGAACGGAGCGGCCGAUGGCAGAUUAGGUAGUUGGUGGGAUAAAAGCUUACCAAGCCGACGAUCUGUAGCUGGUCUGAGAGGACGACCAGCCACACUGGGACUGAGACACGGCCCAGACUCCUACGGGAGGCAGCAGUGGGGAAUUUUGGACAAUGGGCGAAAGCCUGAUCCAGCCAUGCCGCGUGCAGGAUGAAGGCCUUCGGGUUGUAAACUGCUUUUGUACGGAACGAAAAGACUCUGGUUAAUACCUGGGGUCCAUGACGGUACCGUAAGAAUAAGCACCGGCUAACUACGUGCCAGCAGCCGCGGUAAUACGUAGGGUGCAAGCGUUAAUCGGAAUUACUGGGCGUAAAGCGUGCGCAGGCGGUUAUAUAAGACAGAUGUGAAAUCCCCGGGCUCAACCUGGGA